AGAGUUUGAUCAUGGCUCAGAACGAACGCUGGCGGCAGGCUUAACACAUGCAAGUCGAACGCAUCCUUCGGGGUGAGUGGCAGACGGGUGAGUAACGCGUGGGAACGUGCCCUUCAGUUCGGAAUAACCCAGGGAAACUUGGGCUAAUACCGAAUACGUGCGAGAGCAGAAAGAUUUAUCGCUGAAGGAUCGGCCCGCGUCUGAUUAGCUAGUUGGUGAGGUAAUGGCUCACCAAGGCGACGAUCAGUAGCUGGUCUGAGAGGAUGAUCAGCCACAUUGGGACUGAGACACGGCCCAAACUCCUACGGGAGGCAGCAGUGGGGAAUAUUGGACAAUGGGCGCAAGCCUGAUCCAGCCAUGCCGCGUGAGUGAUGAAGGCCUUAGGGUUGUAAAGCUCUUUCGUCCGGGACGAUAAUGACGGUACCGGAAGAAGAAGCCCCGGCUAACUUCGUGCCAGCAGCCGCGGUAAUACGAAGGGGGCUAGCGUUGUUCGGAAUCACUGGGCGUAAAGGGCGCGUAGGCGGCUUGAUAAGUCGGGGGUGAAAGCCUGUGGCUCAACCACAGAAUUGCCUUCGAUACUGUCUGGCUUGAGACCGGAAGAGGUAAGUGGAACUGCGAGUGUAGAGGUGAAAUUCGUAGAUAUUCGCAAGAACACCAGUGGCGAAGGCGGCUUACUGGUCCGGUUCUGACGCUGAGGCGCGAAAGCGUGGGGAGCAAACAGGAUUAGAUACCCUAGUAGUCC
rnacentral:rRNA from 1 species